CCUACGGGUGGCUGCAGUGGGGAAUAUUGGACAAUGGGCGAAAGCCUGAUCCAGCCAUGCCGCGUGUGUGAAGAAGGCCUUCGGGUUGUAAAGCACUUUCAGUGGGGAAGAAAGCCUUGGGGCUAAUACCCUCGAGGAAGGACAUCACCCACAGAAGAAGCACCGGCUAACUCCGUGCCAGCAGCCGCGGUAAUACGGAGGGUGCGAGCGUUAAUCGGAAUUACUGGGCGUGAAGCGCGCGUAGGCGGUCUGAUAAGCCGGUUGUGAAAGCCCCGGGCUCAACCUGGGAACGGCAUCCGGAACUGUCAGGCUAGAGUGCAGGAGAGGAAGGUAGAAUUCCCGGUGUAGCGGUGAAAUGCGUAGAGAUCGGGAGGAAUACCAGUGGCGAAGGCGGCCUUCUGGACUGACACUGACGCUGAGGUGCGAAAGCGUGGGUAGCAAACAGGAUUAGAUACCCCAGUAGUC
rnacentral:rRNA from 1 species